AACGAACGCUGGCGGCAUGCCUAACACAUGCAAGUCGAACGAGACCUUCGGGUCUAGUGGCGCACGGGUGCGUAACGCGUGGGAACCUGCCCUUAGGUUCGGAAUAACUCCCCGAAAGGGGUGCUAAUACCGGAUAAUGUCUUCGGACCAAAGAUUUAUCGCCUUUGGGUGGGCCCGCGUUGGAUUAGCUUGUUGGUAGGGUAAAAGCCUACCAAGGCGACGAUCCAUAGCUGGUCUGAGAGGAUGAUCAGCCACACUGGGACUGAGACACGGCCCAGACUCCUACGGGAGGCAGCAGUGGGGAAUAUUGGACAAUGGGCGAAAGCCUGAUCCAGCAAUGCCGCGUGAGUGAUGAAGGCCUUAGGGUUGUAAAGCUCUUUUACCCGGGAUGAUAAUGACAGUACCGGGAGAAUAAGCUCCGGCUAACUCCGUG
rnacentral:rRNA from 1 species